rnacentral:rRNA from 1 species
ACCGGUUGAUCCUGCCGGAGGGAACCCCUAUCGGGCUCGCACUAAGCCAUGCGAGUCUGCUGGGAGCCCCUGCUCCCGGCGGCGCACGGCUCCGUAAUACACGGUCAACCUGCCCUAGGGACCGGGAUAACCUCGGGAAACUGAGGCUAAUCCCGGAUGGGGGUGGAUUCCUGGAAUGGGUCCACCCCGAAAGUAGGCGGGGGGAAGGCCCCGCUGAGGCCCUAGGAUGGGACCGUGGCCUAUCAGGUAGUAGGUGGGGUAACGGCCCACCUAGCCUA